rnacentral:lncRNA from 1 species
CUCAGAGAGCUCAACACUGCUAAAACUUUUGGCAUUUCAAAGGAAUGCAUUCCUCCACUAGCAUGUGUAAAGUAUAUUAUAAAAGAAAUUAAUAUCAGUGAAAAGGUCAAUAGUGAUCUCUUGAGAGCCAAUUGGAUAUAAUCAUGAUGAAUUUUUUACUAAUAUCAGAAAACAAAUUACUGAAGGGCUUUUUAAUUUGAAAAUCAAUCUUUUAUAAUAUUUUUGCCUAAAAUUAUGUUUAGGUAUAUAUUUCAAUGCUUAAUACUAAUGUUAAGUGACAUUUUAGUUCCUACAAUAUUUUACAAUGUAAAGUUUUCUCCUUUUCUUUGAUUCUUUUCUGUGUUUUCUUAAAUGUCAGGGCAUUGUUAAUUAUCUUCAGUCUGUGAAUCUACGAUUUUCAUAAUCAUGAUAUCCUAAGACUUGAGAAUCAGAAGGAAGGGACUUCAGGAAAUCUAAUCACUGGUUCCACAGCUCUCAAAAACUCUCCCCUUAACAGGGCUGUUGCAGCUGCUCCAGGUGUUCUGAGAUUUCACACAUUCAGGUAGAUGUUUCCCUGCCCUUUUGGAAAUCUAAUUGCAGCCUUUGCCAUUUUUCUCUCUGAGACCUGGUCAGACACUGCCAUUUCUCAGUGAAAUUAAGUCCCUUUUUUCACUUUCAUUUUCCCCUCCCCAACCUCCUGACCUUUCUCCUGUUUUGUUCCCUUAAUCUAUGUAGUCUCUCUUUUCAUAUCGUCCAGCACUCUUACAUUGCAUCACUUGAAAACCUUCACUCCAAUAUAAAUGGCCUUACUGCUUCAACUGUUGUCAGAAUGCUUUCUUCACCCUCUCCUCAUAAAAUUCAGGGUAUUCUAUCACUGCAGCCCUCUCUAGUUGCCAUGCACAUUUUUUCACUGCCUAAGCAAUGAAAAAGAUUGGUGUCCCCUUAAUUGCCCAUUUCUAUUCAAAGACCUUUGUUCUUCCUUACUUGAGAGAAGCUGCAGCCCCUUGGAGCUUGCUUUCAUUCAUUUCCAUAACCAGUAGUCUCCCACUGUUGAAUUUGCAGAUAUGCACACCGAACUGCACUUCCUUUCUGUCAUUCUCAGGUGAUAGGUAGCCAUUUUAAUGAGGCUCUCUCCUU